CCCAGAGAUAUGAGGCUCCAGGAGAAGUGAAGCCUAUAGUCCUCCCCUUACACACUGAGCAUGUUGGAGCUGGGAAGAAACUGGAGGAAAUCAAGUCCAACCCCCCGACGUUACAGAUGAGAAAACUGACUAUUUGCAGCCCAACAGCUAAAGGCAGGUAUUAAUACUCAGGUGCAAUAGCUCUCACCCCAGUAUUCCUUCCACCAGCACACAAUAUGUCCUUCCUCCCACCUUUAUACAGGUGAAGUCCAGUUAAAGUCAUCAUCAAGGAUGACACAGAAGGGAAAAGAAGGGGGCAGAUACAUCCUAAAUAAUAACUGACACUGUAUAAUUUUAGGUAUUUUUCCUUGAGUUACAUCAAUUCAGAGAAAACAGAGAUAAUGAUAGCUAACAUCGCUGAUCCUUACUGUAUGCAUUUAAUGUGUGUUAUCUCAUUUAAUUUCCACAAAGCCCUCUGAUAUGGAUGCUAUCAUCGUCAUUCCUCAUUUAUAGAUGAGAAACCAGGUCGGAAAUGUCAGCUUGCCUAAGAUGCCACAACUAGAAAGUGGCACAGCAACGACUUGACUUAAGGACUCUCUGGUAGAAUCCAUCCAAUGAGGACCCCAUGGUUAUUGUCUCCCAGUACUAUCUGCUGCAGCUCCUACCUUCCACACCAUCGGCCGCAUUCGUGAGACACAAGAACCAGCCCUGUGGAAUCUGCUUCCCCAGGAACUCAACUUGCUACAACUGUCACUGUGCCAGAGAGAACUUCUGUACCUCCUCAUAUGACGCACUGUGAAGGACGCAUCACCUCUGAAGUGUCCUUCCCAUCAUGCAUGACCUCAGUCUAAUCAUGGGCAAACAUUAGGCAAAGGCAAAUUGAGGAACAUUCUACAAAAUAACUGCCCAGCACUCUUCAAAAGUGUUAAGGUCACGAAAGACAAGGAAAGACUGAGGAAUUGGCCCGGAUUGGAGGAGAUAAGGAGACAUGACAACUAAACGCAAUGUGGGAUGCUGGAUUGGGUCCCAGAACAGAAAAAGGACAUUAGUGAAAAAACUGGUGAAAUCCAAAUAAAGCCUGCAAUUUAGCUAAUAAAAUUGUACUAACGUG
rnacentral:lncRNA from 1 species